UACGUAGGGACCGAGCGUUGUCCGGAAUUACUGGGCAUAAAGGGUGCGUAGGUGGCUUGUUAAGUCAGGGGUGAAAGUUUUCGGCCCAACCGGAAAAUGGCCUUUGAUACUGGCGAGCUCGAGUGCGUGAGGGGUAACCGGAACGAGCAGUGUAGCGGUGAAAUGCGUAGAUAUUGCUCGGAAGGCCAACGGCGAAGGCAGGUUACUGGUGCGCAACUGACACUGAGGCACGAAAGCGUGGGGAGCAAACAGG
rnacentral:rRNA from 1 species